UCCGUCUUCAAUCGUCGUCUUCAAGCCUCAGCACAACGCACGCACGAAUAAUGUAGUCAGUUUCUGCCGUUUCAUCCCCAAUUGAUUCCGGCGUUUUCCUGCACCAAUUGUUGUACCGUUUGUUGCUACUUAAGCUCCACACCUUCCUCUCUAUUUACUCCCAAACGACACUUCCUUAGAGCCCCCAGGCUGCUCGAAUUCGAGCUCGAAGGUCCGCAGCACUAUCGCGCGACAGCGGCAAUUUCAUCCGUGAGCGUCGGCCGUGGGAAGAAUUUUUCAGCGAGCGAUUUCGGGAGAGAGCGUGCCUGAACGGUCAUCGUGUAGACCUUCUGCGACACAUCAACUUCGGAAGCCUCUUCGGCAACGUUGUCAUCAACCUGUGUAGCUGCGCCAUCGUUUCCGACAUCAUCGACCAUCUGCGCCGAUUGUGAUUGUGCUGAUUGCAACGAGUGUUUUUGCGAAGAGUGUAC